rnacentral:rRNA from 1 species
AUUGAACGCUGGCGGCAGGCUUAACACAUGCAAGUCGAACGAACGGCGGACGGGUGAGUAAUGUCUGGGAAACUGCCUGAUCGAGGGGGAUAACUACUGGAAACGGUAGCUAAUACCGCAUACCCUGAUAUGUGCCCAGAUGGGAUUAGAUAGUAGGUGGGGUAAUGGAUCACCUAGGCGACGACCCCUAGCUGGUCUGAGAGGAUGAACAGCCAAACUGGAACCGUGACCCGGUCCAGCCUCCUAGGGGAGGCAGCAGUGGGGAAUAUUGGACAAUGGGCGCAAGUCUGAUGCAGCCAGGCCGCGUGUGUGAAGAAGGAUUUCGGGUUGUAAAGCACUUUCAGCGAGGAGGCGUUACUCGAAGAAGAAGCAACGGCUAACUCCGUGCCAGUAGCCGCGGUAAUUC